rnacentral:rRNA from 1 species
GAUGAACGCUGGCGGCGUGCCUAAUACAUGCAAGUCGAGCGAACGGACGAGAAGCUUGCUUCUCUGAUGUUAGCGGCGGACGGGUGAGUAACACGUGGAUAACCUACCUAUAAGACUGGGAUAACUUCGGGAAACCGGAGCUAAUACCGGAUAAUAUUUUGAACCGCAUGGUUCAAAAGUGAAAGACGGUCUUGCUGUCACUUAUAGAUGGAUCCGCGCUGCAUUAGCUAGUUGGUAAGGUAACGGCUUACCAAGGCAACGAUGCAUAGCCGACCUGAGAGGGGGAUCGGCCACACUGGAACUGAGACACGGUCCAGACGCCUACGGGAGGCAGCAGUAGGGAAUCUUCCGCAAUGGGCGAAAGCCUGACGGAGCAACGCCGCGUGAGUGAUGAAGGUCUUCGGAUCGUAAAACUCUGUUAUUAGGGAAGAACAUAUGUGUAAGUAACUGUGCACAUCUGGACGGUACCUAAUCAGAAAGCCACGGCUAACUACGU